AGUUUCAGGAGAGUCUGCGCACUAGUUUGUGCACGUAUCACUAUCCUGAACUACCUUCGCAUUUAAACAUUAUUGGGUUGAUUGGAACUGUAAAGUAAUAUAUUUCAUAUUAUCUUUUUAUUUUAGGCAGUGAUUUCAUAAAACUGCCCACAUGCAAUGUUCCAUAGUUAGACUAAUAAGUACCUAAAACCGACGUUUCACAACACUUUAGCAUGCGCACCGUGACCUAAAAUGUCACAAAAGGAAACAUAAAUAAAUAAAAAUAAAUGAAUUCCUAAAUUUGUAAUCACCUAAUUUAGUCGGAGCUCUUCAAUUUACAAAUUAUUAGAAUUUAAGGCUGAUGUCUGAAACACACUAGGUAAGAUUAUAGUAACGAUAGAAAUACAAAUCACUCUGAUGAUGAGCACGUGUAAUCUUUAUCAGUAUCACUAGCUGUUAUAUCCUUUUCGUCAAUCUGUAUAAACGCCUCACUCUCAGGAACUAUAAAAGCUACAAAGUUGAGACUAAGCCAGCAGAUUUUAGAGACAUAGAAAAAAAGGACGAGUAAACUCUUUAAAAAAUUUGUUGUUUUCGUUUUAUUAUUUGUCUUUUUUCCAGUAUAUCGCUAUAGCAUCCGAUCUACAUUAGUUUAUAAAACGUAAAAGUGUAACUAAAAAAAACAGUAAAACCGCAGUAAAAGCGAUGCAAGGUCGUCGCCAGGGUAGGGCUGGGCCUAAAAGGAAUGUUCAAGAAAAUUCAUAAUUUGCUGCCUAUCGCGUAACUUCACGUUGUUUAUUUACACUUUGUACUGUUCUUAUUCUCUUAGUCAAUCUGCCUCCAAUUCUAUCGAUCUGCUUCCCAUACAUAAGCUUGAUAGGGGCUUUCACUAAGAGUUUCCAGUGUUGGAAGAUGAAUUCUACUAUCUCUCGCCCCUGGCUGAUGGCCUGGUGACGCCCUUGAAGAGAUGACAGAUGUAUAUAAACCAUUUCUGGGCGAUAUCUUCUAUUAUAACCUCUUGAUUUCUACAGACCUAAAUUGCCAAAAGCAAUCUAAAACACAAUAACAUUUUACAUACAUACAUUUUUAAUAUAUUUUUAUAUUUUUCGGGUACAAGCCGAACCCUGUAUUGUCUACACACAGUCUCCGCAGAAUUUCGAGAACAUUUUACAGAUAUAUUUUUUAAUUUUAAAAUGUUCUUUUUUUAAACUGGGAAUAUACAUACAUAUAUUUUUUAAAUACAUACAUACCUUUUUUCUAACAUACAUACACAUACAUUGGACUAAUAUGUGAAACAAAAUCCAAACCAUAUGUGUACAUUUCCUUACAUUGCCUGAGGCUAUCUUUUUGAUCGCCAUAGUAAGAAGGACAAAAUCUUACAAAAUUUUUUGCAGUUUCAAAAAACGGCUCCUGGCAGUUCAUUGUUAUUCCGAAGAAACUUGGCGCAGCGGACAAACCUGUAUAGUGUGAAAGAACCACCACACUCUUCUUCACACGGACGGCCAAUCUAUGCUGAAAAUGUUGUCGAUUUGAAAAAACCCGCUAGCUUAGCGGAAAAGAGCUGACUAAGUUGUAUUUAAUUUGUUUUAUAGUUAAGUAUAUCAUAUAUCGUUUUGCCAAUAACCUAGCUGUUUUUUUUUUUUAAAUUUGUAGAACUAAAGUGUAUUGAUAUAUCGAUCUAGUUUGCAUAAUUUAAAUAGUGAUGACCGUAAACAAGAACAACUUCAGAAAGGGUUAUUUGUUUUGAAUUGGAGAAAGGACCUGUUUUUGCUUAGUAACUUUUAAACCUGCAUAUUAUGUAAAUGUGUUGUAUAUAAGCCGUAUUGUAAGCUAGGGAAUACAAAAAUCUAAAAAAAAUGUUACACUCGUUCGUUUUCAAUAAAUCUGCUAGGAAGAGAAAAA